GCUUGUCAAAGCUCGCCGCACGCAUACCAUAGGCUUCUAGAGAUCGGCCCGAUCGGCGGUUGCUGAGGUCGCACCACAUUCCUCCCUUCAUAGAUCGGGGAUGAAUCGGGGCCACUACACCAGAUUCAGAGGCAGAGGAACACACCUUGUUGGAUUACGCGCACAUGCCGACGUAGGAUGUCCGUCGGCUCCAACAACUAAUAUCGCGCAGCUUCCCUUGAUCCUGCUUGGCUGCCGUAUCCUUCAAUGCUAUGGAGCUCUGCGGCUUCCCGAAUCCAGCGAUGGUGGCAAGCAGGGAGAAGAGAGAGAAAGAGGAGAGGAGAAUGAGAAGGGGGCUAGGAUUAGGGGCUUCAGGCCCAUGUGGAGAGGGCUGUCUGCAAAAAUAAAACAAAGGUGCGA
rnacentral:lncRNA from 1 species